rnacentral:lncRNA from 1 species
AAAGACGGAAAAGGAAUGACUUACAAAGAUGACUAACUAAAAGAAGAGACAUCAUAAGAACUUACUAUGAUCCCCGAGUCCAAUUGGAUACAAAAAGAAGGUUGUUUUGACCGACAACGGAAGAACUGCAUCAAAUAUUUCAAGAGACAACAACUCAAAAGUUAGAUAGUCAUGCCUAAAUCCUCAUAAAAAUGAAAAAAAAAAUAGAGUAAUUGACAUCAUAAGACGGCGCCGCAAUACAUACCAUCACAGCCCAGAAAAUUCAGAUAGUAAUACCGACACCGGGAAG